AAACCAACAGGGAUUGCCUCAGUAACGGCGAGUGAAGCGGCAAAAGCUCAAAUUUGAAAUCCCCCCGGGGAGUUGUAAUUUGAAGAUUGCGUCUUGGAGGCGACCGUGUCUAUGUUCCUUGGAACAGGACGUCACAGAGGGUGAGAAUCCCGUGCGGCACGGCCCCCGGCUCCUUAUAAGGCGCUCUCGACGAGUCGAGUUGUUUGGGAAUGCAGCUCAAAGUGGGUGGUAAAUUCCAUCUAAAGCUAAAUACAGGCGAGAGACCGAUAGCGAACAAGUACAGUGAUGGAAAGAUGAAAAGCACUUUGAAAAGAGAGUGAAACAGCACGUGAAAUUGUUGAAAGGGAAGGGCAUGCCGUCAGAUUGUCAGUGUGGGUAAGAAGCGGGGUACAAAGACUGUGGAACGUGGCCCUCGGGUGUUAUAGCCGCAGUUCAUGCCCCGUCUCUUCCGAGGCCUGCUUGAGACACCGACG
rnacentral:rRNA from 1 species